GCGCCCGUAGCUCAGUGGAUAGAGCACUGGUCUUCGGAACCAGGUGUCGGGGGUUCGAAUCCCUCCGGGCGUGCCA
rnacentral:tRNA from 1 species